GCCUGGGUGGCUCAGUCGGUUGAGCAUCCGACUUCAGCUCAGGUCAUGAUCUCACGGUUUGUGGGUUCGAGCCCCGCAUCGGGCU
rnacentral:tRNA from 1 species